rnacentral:rRNA from 1 species
ACGAACGCUGGCGGCGUGCUUAACACAUGCCAGUCGCACGGAAAGGCCCUGCUUUUGUGGGGUGCUCGAGUGGCGAACGGGUGAGUAACACGUGAGUAACCUGCCCUUGCCUUUGGGAUAACUUCAGGAAACUGGGGCUAAUACCGGAUAGGAGCUCCUGCUGCAUGGGGGGGGUUGGAAAGUUUCGGCGGUUGGGGAUGGACUCGCGGCUUAUCAGCUUGUUGGUGGGGUAGUGGCUUACCAAGGCUUUGACGGGUAGCCGGCCUGAGAGGGUGACCGGCCACAUUGGGACUGAGAUACGGCCCAGACUCCUACGGGAGGCAGCAGUGGGGAAUAUUGCACAAUGGGCGGAAGCCUGAUGCAGCAACGCCGCGUGCGGGAUGACGGCCUUCGGGUUGUAAACCGCUUUCGCCUGUGACGAAGCGUGAGUGACGGUAAUGGGUAAAGAAGCACCGGCUAACUACGUG